AGGGGAAGCAAGAAACCCCUCUGUCCCACACAGUGUGUCACAGAAUGUUAUGUUAGCUAUGGAUAAUGUAAACGUGUUUCAAAUUUUGUAGGACUCUUUGCAUGCUGAGUUUAAAGAAUUAGGCAAAAGAAGUGGGGAACCACCGAAGGCAAGAGUCAUGAUGUGACUUAAGUCUUAGAAGGGUCAUCUGAGCUACUAAGCAUGCACUGUGCUCUGCUGUGCUAAUCCACCUGAAGACUACUUCACCGCACUGUGCUGCGUGGGCCAU
rnacentral:lncRNA from 1 species